AACCUUGAUAUUCUGAAUCAUCCCCCGUAUAAUAGAACCGUCGGGGUAACCCGUCUAAGAUGCUAAACGCCCUGUGAAAUAGGCGUCGUGGACCCGGGGGCAGUGCCCGGCGGCUCCACCAUAUAGAACCGGAACAAUCAAAUAUGGUUUUAUGUGAUGGGGCCGAAACAGGCUCGACACGCGUAAUAAAGACAAGGUCUGUAUCCGUUUGAGGUACGGUCGAAUCCGUCCAAAUUUAAUAGUUGCAAAUGAUAAUGCACAAACCGUAGCAGCCAAUGACAACUCUUUUGUUGUUGCUGGUGAUAAAAUCGCUGCUUAAUUGCACCGAUGAAGCUACAUAAUCCCUGAAGCUUCGGCAGAGGGUGGGGCGCGGGGCGGCCUAGCAACAGAACUGCCCCAUU
rnacentral:tmRNA from 1 species